ensembl:lncRNA
UCAAGCUGUUUUUUUUAUUGCAGAUUCCCCUGAAAUAAAGAACGAGUCUGCAUGCUUCUCAGUGGACAACUUGAUCAAAUGUAAUUGUACAGUGGACUCCAAGCCUGCCAGCGUGGUCUUUUUUAAUCUGAGUAACAAGUUUCUCCCAGCCACCAAAGGAGAAGGACCGGGUAACUUUUUCAUUCAGCUUCCGGUGGCGGAGUUUGCAUCAGAAUCUGUGAGCUGUUUGGCAAAUAACUCACAGGGGAGUGCAACCCUUGCGCUGACAAUACCUUCUGGUGACAAGAUGAUGCUCAUUUACAUCUUUACUGGAGCUGCUGUGAUUGUGGUGAUACUUUCAGUAAUUGUGGGAGUUGCCUUAAAACGGUUUAGAUCUGCAGACAACAGUCACACUGCAAGCCUGGCAGAUCGAGCCCUGGAGCUGCCAGAAUGUUACACCACGAAAAGUUUGGAGAAAUUUCAUGAGUCACCUCACUCUGCGAUUUAUGCCAAUGAUUCAUCAUUUAUGUACAACGAGGACUAUGAGGAUGAUCCAAUUUAUGCAAACACAUGACCAGUGGAAGGACAGACGUUCAAAAGUUUCCUGCACAGCCAAGCAGGCUGUGAUGACUUCAAAUAUUGUCUGCAGUAAAAAACAAACAAAACAAACAGAAUGUGUGAUGGAAUGAAAGGCUUUAUUUGUGUCAGCUUUUAUGAUUGUGUGUGAGCUGCAGUGGUAUUGUGUACAUUUUUGACAACUUUAAAGGUAAAGAUUAUUCUAGCCAAAAGAUAUGUGUGUAACUGAGUGUGUGUGUAGACAGGCCCGCCCAUUCCAGAUUGUUAUUUAGACCUGGUUGUUAUAGGAUGUUACUACUCUGUGUUACCUUCUUUGUUCUCUUAACCCCACUCUUUUAUCCCCCCCCUUUUUGUUUCCGUCCGGUCCAACAAAAAAGAAAAAGAUACAACAUAAUUAAAAUAAAUAAAGUUUAGCAUGAAAUACAACAUCAAAAUCUGUCCAACGCAAGAGGCUCUCAGCCCGUAUCUGCUUGCUCAGCUGUUGGACAGGACAAGUAAAAAAAAAAAAAAAAAAAAACAAUCUUUUUAACCUCUAACUAAAUAGGCUUCAGCUUACUGAUGCAGUCUUGUCCUGCCACUAAUAACAGUUUAUCACUGCAAUGGCUUUAUGUUUCAAACUGCUAAUAUGAACAGAGAUGAAUAAAAUCUUGUCAAACUGAGCUCAGAUAUACUUGACAACAGUUUGGAAGUUGUGCAGUUACAGCAUACAACAGUAGGGGUACACUGCAUGUCAAAUUCCCCUCAUUGUUGAGCACAUUCGGUCACAAAUAUGGCUUCAUAAAAUAUCCGAUUUGACAAACAUUGCACUGAUUGGGAAAAAUCCUCAGGCACAGCAAAUCUUAAACCAUUAGCUGACGACAGCACAGAUGAAACCACUUUUGUGUGCAAUGAGACGUAAUGAUCAAUCCACGAGGAGUCUGAGCUUUGAACUGAUUGAUAUAAGGCUACAUACAUGCCUGUAUGUAUCUGUAACCCACUGAUCAAUGAUAGAAUAGACGUCAGGGACCACUGACUCAAGAAUCUUUCAUUUUCAAAUACAACUUCAGGUUUGUCCUGAUUUUGUCUAAGGAUCCAAAGAGGUAGCCAGGAAACCAGGAAAAUCUAGGAUGCAUAUUUCUGUUCAAUCUCACUGGCCUUAGAAUUCUUAAUUAUUCUUAACUUUACAGAAUUUGUGGAUGGAUAUUUUUCCGAUAUUCCAGAUUUCAGACACUUAAUGAUUCUACAAGCAGAUAAAAUUCAAUAAAGGCCCAGACACAACCAUGGUUGCAGCAUUUUGUUGCCAUCUAAAGUUUAACUUGUCACUUUUUUAGCUGUUUGCACCUUUUAGCUGCAGCCUGUUUGGCUAUUGAGCAAGAGAAUAGAAGUCAACCGUAACAAAGGAAAAAAAAAAUAGAUCUGUUGAAAGUAAACGUUAUGUGAUGUCAGCAAAAAAAAAAAAAAAACUGUUAACAAAAAGUCCCCAGAAGUCAAGUAUUUUAAGCAACUUUCACUUUAUGCUUUGCUCUUUACUUAGAACAGCUUAAUUGCUAUAGAAAGUACUAGUCGUGUGUAGUUUUUUAUAUUUAAAAUAAUUCUGUGCAAUUUGGGGUUUUUAUUGCAAAAAAGAAAUAUAUAUAUAUAAACACAUUGUUAAUUGUCUUAAUAAAAGCUAUAAUAAACUUGCAAAAAGUAAUUUUUGAUGAAAUGCUGAUUUUGGAUUGCUGAGGAGAAGUACAUUUCUAAAAUGUUGGUAAAUUUCUUAAAAGA